rnacentral:ncRNA from 1 species
GGCAGUGACGCGGGGUGCCCGAACUGGUGCGGGCUGAGAUCACACCCGUUGAACCUGACCUAGGUCGUACUAGCGGAGGGACGUCAUGGUUCCGAACG